rnacentral:rRNA from 1 species
UACGUAGGGUGCGAGCGUUAAUCGGAAUUACUGGGCGUAAAGCGUGCGCAGGCGGUUUUGUAAGCCAGAUGUGAAAGCCCCGGGCUUAACCUGGGAAUGGCAUUUGGGACUGCAAGGCUUGAGUGCGGCAGAGGAGACUGGAAUUCCUGGUGUAGCAGUGAAAUGCGUAGAUAUCAGGAGGAAUACCGAUGGCGAAGGCAGGUCUCUGGGCUGACACUGACGCUCAUGCACGAAAGCGUGGGGAGCAAACA